rnacentral:rRNA from 1 species
UUGGAGGGCAAGUCUGGUGCCAGCAGCCGCGGUAAUUCCAGCUCCAAUAGCGUAUAUUAAAGUUGUUGCAGUUAAAAAGCUCGUAGUUGAAUUUCGGGGUCAGCAGGUUGGUCGUGCCACUGGUAUGAACUGGCUUCGCUGAUUCCUCCUUUCUGAAGAACUGUAAUGCCAUUAAUUUGGUGUUGCAGGGAAACAGGACUGUUACUUUGAAAAAAUUAGAGUGUUUAAAGCAGGCUUUGGCUUGAAUACAUUAGCAUGGAAUAAUGAAAUAGGACGUUCGAUCCUAUUUUGUUGGUUUCUAGGAUUGACGUAAUGAUUAAUAGGGAUAGUUGGGGGCAUUAGUAUUCAAUUGUCAGAGGUGAAAUUCUUGGAUUUAUUGAAGACUAACUACUGCGAAAGCAUUUGCCAAGGAUGUUUUCAUUAAUCAAGAACGAAAGUUAGGGGAUCGAAGACGAUCAGAUACCGUCGUAGUCUUAACCAUAAACUAUGCCGACUAGGGAUCGGAUGAUGUUAAUUUUUUAAUGACUCAUUCGGCGCCUUACGGGAAAC